rnacentral:rRNA from 1 species
UAUUGCACAAUGGGCGCAAGCCUGAUGCAGCCAUGCCGCGUGUAUGAAGAAGGCCUUCGGGUUGUAAAGUACUUUCAGCGGGGAGGAAGGGAGUAAAGUUAAUACCUUUGCUCAUUGACGUUACCCGCAGAAGAAGCACCGGCUAACUCCGUGCCAGCAGCCGCGGUAAUACGGAGGGUGCAAGCGUUAAUCGGAAUUACUGGGCGUAAAGCGCACGCAGGCGGUUUGUUAAGUCAGAUGUGAAAUCCCCGGGCUCAACCUGGGAACUGCAUCUGAUACUGGCAAGCUUGAGUCUCGUAGAGGGGGGUAGAAUUCCAGGUGUAGCGGUGAAAUGCGUAGAGAUCUGGAGGAAUACCGGUGGCGAAGGCGGCCCCCUGACGAAGACUGACGUCAGGUGCGAAA